AUUAGUCAAGGGUACUUGUGUAAACUGAAUACCAACGUCAACAAGGCACGUGUAUUAGUCGAGGUUCCUCAUGUAAACUGAUCAAGUUUCUACUGUGUUUAUAGAGACUGUUAGUGGGAAACACACAUUUCUGCAAUGCAUUUCAUUAUUUAUCUUUUAAUAUGAAAAUUUGACGAGUGUGUCAUAUUAUCAAUCAUGACAGUCUGGACUUCCAUCUUUAUUUAAUAAUUGAAUUCAAUAAAAAAGAUGCUUAUCUUGUCGGUUUUAUAAACUCUUAAACGUGUAUAAGGU
rnacentral:lncRNA from 1 species